AAACAUCUUGAUAAAUCACGGGUACCCAAUGUAAAAGUGGAUUCUGCACUAAAAUUUUUCUCUUCUGCCUGUUUUUGAUCUGAAAUUAGGUUGAGGCAAUGAACUUGCUUACUGUGUUUUAUCCUCAAUCCUUUUCCAGAGAAAGUUUUAUGUGCCAUUCUCACAUUUACGUUGAAUGAUCUGCAGUUCCCGUACCAUGAGUUUGUAGAUCGCUCAGCAAUGUACAGAGUGGGAUCAUUGUUCUAUGCAAUUUACUUUAUAGUUAGCUUCCCCAUGUUCAUAAGGUGAUGUUAAAAGCAGGAAAAUAUGAGCUUGUUCACAAGUUUUUUGGAAAAAUGAGAAAAAGAGGACUUGCUCCAAAUUCUCACACAUAUAAAGUUCUUGUGACUGCCUGUUGGAGAGAAGGUAAGAUAGACGAUGCUGUUGAAGCAGUUUUGGAUAUGGAACAGAGGGGAGUAGUUGGGUCGGCUAGUGUGGGAAACCUCAGAUGAUGAUUUCAAGGAACAAAGUAAUGCAAUACCGACUAUCCCUCGGCGUCAUGCGGGCGAAAUAGGCCUGAAAAUGUCAGCCCGAGAGAACUUGAUUCUUUUGGUAAAUAUAAUCUCAUCAAGUUCAUGGGUUCGUGUGUCACAUUCUGAUAGAGUCUUUGAAUUGCAUAUCGUACAUUGCUUAAGUUUGUAGGUUGGUUGACUGAAUAUCUUUGACAAGAACUUCGCAUCUCACAUCUAACUUGGUUAUGAUUCAAUCAUGUGUUUGCUGACAUGGAAGCC